GGAUAUACCGUGUAAAAGUGUUAGAAGAUCUCUCUUAUUUGGAAUUUCAGAAUGUUAAGUCUAAUUUAUGAUGAUAUGAACUUGUGGUGAAUAGUUGGAGUUCUGAUUGUAUAAUUUAUUUAGCUUGUGGAUUUAUAAAUGUUGUUCAUAUUUUUCAAGUUGGCUUGGGUUGCCAUAAAUGUGAAUUAUCGAGUGAUGUGAUAUAUGAUUAUAAACUGCACAGGUUUUAUAGAUGUGAAUUUGAUAGAAUGUUUUUCAGUGUCCUCAAAUGUUAGUUUGGAUCCUGGAUUGGUUUGUGAUGAAAAUUUU
rnacentral:lncRNA from 1 species